AUAGAUAGGUAGGUAGAUAGAUAAAUAAAUAAAUAAAUAAAUAAAUAAAUAAAUAAAUAAAAAUCAAAUCAGGGUGAUCCAACUGCACCAGCUCCCGCAACUGCAAGAGACUGGCUGCUCAGGGUGAAUGUGGGUUUUGCUUUCUGCUCCUAGAAGUGGUACACAGUCAUAUGGAGGAAGGAUAUAUCCUCUGUCUGUGUCCUCUGUCCAACCUUGUUUUCUAAGGUGUGUGUGUGUGUGUGAGAGAGAGAGAGACAGAGACAGAGACAGAGAGACAGAGACAGAGAGAGAAAGAUGUGGUAUGUGUAUGUAUGUCAUGUGUAUGCAGAUACCUGCAGAGCCCAGAAGAGGGCUUCAGGUCCCCUGGAAAUGCAAUUACAGAUGUUGUAAGCUGCCUAACAAGAGUGUGCAAAUCCAGAUUUGGUCCUCUGGUAGAGCCAGAAGCACUAACUGCUGAGCCAUCUCUCCAGCCCUCAAUCUUGUUUCCUUAAGCAAAGAAUGUCAUGGCUCCCUUCUGUCUGCCAGUUUGGUAUCAUGGAAACCUGCUGGUUAGGAGAGCAGCCAUCACCUCUGACAGUGUCAUUUCCUUAUCAAGUGCCUUGGGAGGGUAAAGAGAAGGGGGAGGGUGUCUCGGUAUACCCAUCCUUAUAAGUCUGCAACUUCUUGCAUGCCAUUGCAUUUAAAUACAUACUAACAUUUCUGCAUGUUUAUUUGUAUAGUGUUUGUGUAUGGGGGGGUGGAGAGGAGAGACAGAGAUCAGAGGACAACAUAAAGAACUACUUCUCUCUGCAGUGUGGGUCUGGUGGUCAAAUGCAGGUCGUUAGGCUUGGCAGCUUCCCUAAGCCAUCUCACCCUCCUGUGUCCCAUCUUAGCUGCCACAGAUUCUCUCUUACAUUGUCAGAGCAGCAGUGAGGCAGAAGUCACAAGGCUCAACAGCAUCCAGGUUCUGGGGCCUUUCUGAUUUAAUGCAGUAACCAUGAGCAUGCUACCUUUGGUCUUUGCGAGCUACUGUUUCCACCUGCAAAUUCAAGAAAUACCAGGGCCCAAGUUCAAUCCCUGGGUCUGAGAAAGAAGGAAAGAAAGGAAAGGAGAGGAAAGAGGAGAGGAGGGGGGAAGAGAGAGAAAUAGAAAUAUAUAGAGAAAAAUAAUUUUAUUAUACAUCCUAUCUUGAUGUUGGGUCACACAUUUGUCAUGAAUAAAAUCCAUGGAAGACAGCAAGCAAGGGACCAAGCUUAGCUCUUUGUCAGUUACAUUGCACUGAGUCAUUGUGUUUCCUGAUGGUCUGUAAGCUCCAUAGAGUAGGGAGAACCCUGACCUGCUCCCUGACCUCUGGAUCAGAGAGAAUAGCUUGAAAAGCCUUAGCAGGCACAUGUACAGGGGUAUAUGAUCUAACUUUGGCCCAGGAAGUUAAGAGGGAUUUGUCUGGAGAUAGAAGUACCAGAGAAGGCUUCCUGUGCCCAAACAUGUCUUUUAGGCCACCAAGAGGGCAGGACAGGGCAUCCAUGCCAGAGGAGAGUACUCUCUGGCUAAAGGUUCAGAGAAGUUGGGUGUGUCCUGCUGGACAGGGCAUGAGGUUUGGUAUGGAGCAUCGGGUCAGAUGGUGGAAGCCGAGAAUAACAGGCAGGGAGCCAGCUAAAAGAACUGGCCUGGCCAUCAUGGAUACGAGAUGGGUGGGAUGGAGGCUGUCAGGCCCUGUGCCGCCUAGGCCAGCUGGAGCUGAGCAGGCAUGCCCACUCUGUGCCUGUCACCUUGUAGCACUUGGCUUGGACUCUAGUAGCUCAUGGAGCCGUUUCCAAGUUUGCAAGGAAAUUGUGGAGCUCAGAAAUUGGACAUCUUCCAUGCCACAUUAUUUUCCUACCACAAUCACUUAUUCAUUCAUUCAACAUUUAUUGACUGCACAUUAUGUGUCAAGUAGGGCCUUGGGGACAUAGAGGAGGAAACCACAAUCCCCUACCCAUUCCUGUAGCUCUUCUAAUAUGGAAGUUUAUGUAUCCAUCCACAGCAGGGCUGAGGGGAGGGAGUGCUGAGUUAGCAGGCAUGGGAUAUGACAGUUAUCAUCAUUCUGUGGCUUCUGGCCUCCCUUAGCCCCCUCCACUCCUCAGGAACCUGCAAGAACAAAGUCAGAGGCCAUUUCCUUCUUUGCCCAUCGUGACCAUCAGCUGUGAUUUAGCUUCAGCCAGACUUCAAUUCUCUAGAUCCCACCGGUUCUACAGUUUCCCUUUCUCCAUUUAAAACAAUUUUGAUCUUAAGAAUCAGAAUAUCAGUAACUCAUUAAGAUUUAUGUGUGAGCAUAGUAGGAAACAUCUUUUUUUGUUUGUUUGUUUUUGUUUUUGUUUUUCGAGACAGGGUUUCUCUGUAUUGUUUUGGAGACUGUCCUGGAACUCGCUCUGUAGACCAGGCUGGCCUCGAACUCACAGAGAUCCGCCUGCCUCUACCUCCCGAGUGCUGGGAUUAAAGGCUUGCGCCACCAACGCCCGGCAGUAGGAAACAUCUUAAGUGCAAUUAAAUAAUAAACCAUACCUGGAGGAAUUCAUGGAUAGAUGCUUUCUUCUCCCUAGACACUGGAAGCUUGUCUGGAAUGCCAGGUUCAGAAUUCUACCUGGAUCCCCCAGUGCAGCUCUUGGUAGUUAGGCCUGCAUGUAAACUGACAGUAGUGAGCAUCUGGCCACCACCUCCCCACACAGCCCUGCAAAUGCAUCCUUCCCUAGCCUCAACCCUCUAGCUCCGACUAUGGGCUUUUUCUGUCCCUUGCCUUCCAAGACCAGGAAAGACAAAUGGUUUUCUUCUCAUUACUACUACUCUGGAAGGUUUGUUACUGGUGUGUGUGUGUGUGUGUGUGUGUGUGUGUGUGUGUGUGUGUGUGUGUAAGACAAAGCUCUUAGAUAUUCUGGCUGCAUGGAAGUCCUUUCUAAAACUUUGGCCAUCAGAAGACUAGGAGGAUUAUCUAUCCUGUCCUCUACUUCCUUACAUGCUGUCCAGCUGUUGCUGGUGGGCAAGGUGAGUGUACUUGAAAUAGGCUCUUCUGUGGACGGGUGAGUAGCUGCUGGACUCUUUCUAAAACUUCUGACUUUUAUGUAGGAAAGCCAGGGUCUGUGAGGAUGCUCUCCCGGGAAGAUAGCAUGUACUUUUAGUUAUGUAUGCUGAACAACAGAACAAGGGGUGUUCAGGGUCUCGCAGCAAGUGGGUCUUCCCUGCACUGGGUGGCCUUGGCUCCCUUCUGGCUUCCUUUGCUUAGAUUUCCUGGAGGAAGUUUACUGAAUAAAUGUCACAUCCACAGAGACUUGCCAAGGGUUUAAAUGUGGGAGCCAGCUGACAGCACACACUCUCAGUCACGAGGCUUCCUCUGGAGCAGAGUGGCACAGACUUCCUUGGUGAAGAAGGAGGUGUACAGUUGUCUCUUUUCCUGUUCUGCUGUCCCUCUCAGGGGCCCUGUCUCUUCCAGGACAUCCUCCAGGAUCAGAAGAGAAAGGACAGCUUGGUGAUCUACUAAAAAGAUGGGAAGGAGGAGAAAAUGAAACGCAGCCUGAAGACAAUGGCUGAGAAAGCCUGACGUCCCACCCUGCACAGCAGCCAGCGCCUCCUUUCCCCCUUUGCUAGCCCUGAGAUUGUCCUGUGAAGGGAAGUGAUGGGACAGGCUCUGUUCAGCUUCCAUGAACCAAGACACAGAAGUGGUAACUCCUGCCAGGGUCACGGGACUGCUACAGAGCCAAGCCGCUUCAGAAACAGAAGAGCAGAGCAGGAAAAGAAAAUGCUGCACCACCACCCUGAGGCUGCUGCAACCCUGCCACCAGGGACUCAGCAGGAGACCAGGGAAUAUGCUCCCCAGCCCUUCUAGACAGCCUUUGUCACUGACCUGCUGGUCUAGCAUCUCCUCCAGGCCUGCCCAUGCCACACAUUUUGGGACCUUUGUGGGUCUGACAGGCACUUGGGAAAUGGAAACAUCACCAUUGGCAUUUUUGCCCCGAACAGCUAGGCAGCACCUUGGGAAGUGCUGCCAGAGGAAGCGAGGCCAGCCCCCCAGGAGUUAAAGGCGCUUCUCCCCAGCUGUCCUCCCCUUGGUGCUCCUUCGCCUCCCUCCUCCUGCUCACAGCAGGCAGGGCCUGGAACCAGGAGCCAUGCUGCUGUGCUGUUGCCAGGGGAGCUGGGAGGCAGAUCGGAGCUAUGCAGGGGAAAGGCUCAGCCUGUCAAAGUGUCUGAGAUGAACCACGCCAUCCCUGUGCAGCUGGGCUCAGAUGUGUCUCGGCUCUUGUUCUGUGCCUGAGAACGGUGAAGCCCAGUGAGGUUCAAGGGCACACUCGCUAUUCAUUAGUCAGGGGUUCUUGACGUCCUGUCUCUCCCAGGCAUGGGUCCCCCUUCCUCUUUCUCUCCCUCCUGUGACACAUUCCUGGGUGCCCGUGGUGAGGACUGCACACCCCCUCCUGCACAGCCCCCUCCACACAGACCCUGAAUCAACUCCUGUUAAGGAGACCAGGCGGGACAGAGACAAUGGCUCCAAGAAACCAUCCAGGCGGGACACCAGUCACAUUCCCCUGCCCUCCACGCCCAGGGCUCCUAUGGAUCCAACUCUGCUGUGCUCAGGACACCCUUGGGCCCCCAGCCUGCAGAGGCCUGGACAGAAGCAGACCACUAGGUGCUGCCCUACAAACAGGCCAGUGGCAUGCUGUUCUCAGUGGACCCCUCGGUGCCUCUGUCCCACUGGCUGGGUCUUUUUUGUGCGGUUUGUUGGAAAGUAGAAGCUGUACAGUAUUUUCUGAAAUGUCGCUAUGUCAAAAUGUAAAAGGCACAUAUCCUUGCUUACUAAUUCCAUGACUAGGAAUUUACUCCAGAUACAUUUACUAGGAAGCAUUGACAAAGAACUGUGGUUCCGCUAAUGAGUAAUUUAACACUAUGGAAUACAACACAACUGUAAACGUGUGGCAGAUCUCUACACGCAGGCUAAUAGGAAAGGCUGACUAAUAAAUGUAAGUGAAUAAAAUAAAUAACAGAACAA